rnacentral:lncRNA from 13 species
AGUUUUCCUGUUGUUGACAACAAGCCAAAGAGCGGUGGUUUGGCUGCCCAGACCCCUCGCCUCGCCCCCGGUCCGUCCCCGCGGGUCCCCCCUGCCGCUCCCCGCCCGCGGAGCCCCCCCCGGGGCAGGGCGGGCAGUGCCAGCCCGCCGCAGCUCAGCGCGUCCCCGCCGCAGGCGCAGCCCGCGGGGCAGCCGGCAGCGGCCGAGCCCAGCAGCCCCAGCAGCAGCAGCAGCGCCGCCGCCGCCCGUGACGGCAGCGCCAUUUUGUAUCCGGCACCGGGGAACGUCGGCGGCGGGAGGAGGCGGCAGGAGCGCUCACGCCGCAGGCGCUCAGCGCCGCUCCGCCGCCCGCAGCAUCGCCUCGGCCGCCGGCCCCGCUGGGCGCUACGGCACCGGCAUCCACCGGGCACUGCCGGGCGGAUCGAGUCCGCGUCCCCGCCGCGGGAAGCGCCUCCUGCUGCUCCUCCUGCUUCGCGCCGCAAGGCUCGGGCUCGGGCUCGGGCUCGGGCUUGGCCGGUCCCGGUGCGCUCCCGCGGGGUCAGACCCGCCGCCACAGCCGCCCGCCCCGAGCGCCGCUCGCCGCGGACCCACGUUGGCGACACCGCAACAUGUAGCCGCGCCGCCCCCCGCGCGCCCGCCCAUUGGCUGCCGGGCGGCCCCCGCCGCGCCGCCAUUGGGCAGGAGCCCCCCCCCGCGCGGCGCCGCGGCGUCCCAUUGGCCCCUGUGGCCCGUCAAUCACGGGCGCCGGGGCCCGCCCCCCUUUCCCACUCCAGGUGUGAACGCGGGCGGCCGCUGCCCCCCCGCGCUGCCCCUCUUAAAGGGGCCGCGCCCGGCGCUCGCUCCCCGCGUACCAAAACCCUCCCUCCCGUAAAUCUGGACAAUCUGCUGGAACACCAGGGCCUGAGGGCAUCCCUGCACCCCGGUGUGUCCUUCUCCGGACGCCACGAAACGGCCGUGGGACUGCACUCCACAGGGACACGCGUGUCCCGCCACGACCCCGUGGCAGGAGCGGAUCAGACAAGGCAAUGGAUUGACUCCAAGAGCAGGAAGAAAGCUGGUAGACCUGAAGCCUGAACACUGUCUGCUUGGAUGACACAUUUCAGCAUAACAUUGCACUAACCAUUCUUGAACUCCAAAAUCCAGAAGUUUGCCCAAGCCCAGGGAGAGAUUUGGCCCCAUGUGCGAGCUGGCAGGCUUUGGGCUUUGCUCUUCAGAUCUGGACUUGGACUCAGAUCUGUGCCAAGCCUCCAACAGCAGGAGCAGAGCUGGAGACACAGCUAUUCCCAGCAGUGACUAGUGCUAACAGUGUUUAUGCCAUGAGGAGUUCUAUUAACUGGCAUAAUAACCAUAAUUACAUGGUGUAACCUCCUCUCGUUGCUCUCACCUCUAGGCUGAGAUGGAAGAGUGACAUUCUUGCAGCCCCAGAGGAAUGUGUUAGAUGAAAUGAUGCAAGUGGAGCAAGGAAGCUGGAAUCCAGCUGCAGAUCAAAUUGGAGUCCCCUGCCCCUGCCCAGAGAAUAAUGGAAAAAAAAUUAGAAAUAUUGGAGGAGGAGUUUAACUUCUCUUUCAGAUAGGGAUGCUUUAAAUCAAGACUAUUUCUUCACUCUGGAUAAGUCUCUAGAAAGGUCUAGAGACUCCAUGUGCAGCUGAAAAACAGUAGAUGCUUUAUUUUGCUGUAAGCUCUUGCCUCAAUGUAAGUGGGAAAAUGAGCCACCAACUUGCCUAAUAAAAGUAAUGAG